rnacentral:rRNA from 1 species
GACGAAGGAUGCAAGCGUUAUCCGGAUUCAUUGGGUUUAAAGGGAGCGUAGGUGGACUGAUAAGUCAGUGGUGAAAUCUCCGAGCUUAACUCGGAAAUUGCCAUUGAUACUGUUGGUCUUGAGUAUAGUUGCCGUUGGCGGAAUAUGACAUGUAGUGGUGAAAUACAUAGAGAUGUCAUAGAACACCGAUUGCGAAGGCA